rnacentral:rRNA from 1 species
UCCUGGCUCAGGAUGAACGCUAGCGGCAGGCUUAACACAUGCAAGUCGAGGGGCAGCGUGAGGGUUAGCAAUACCCUUGACGGCGACCGGCGCAAGGGUGCGUAACGCGUGAGCAACUUGCCCUUAUCAGGGGGAUAACCGGUGGAAACGCCGACUAAUACCCCAUGGCAUCACAUCAAGGCAUCUUUAUGUGAUUAAAGAAAUUCGGAUAAGGAUAGGCUCGCGUGACAUUAGCUAGACGGCGAGGUAACGGCCCACCGUGGCUACGAUGUCUAGGGGUUCUGAGAGGAAGGUCCCCCACACUGGAACUGAGACACGGUCCAGACUCCUACGGGAGGCAGCAGUGAGGAAUAUUGGUCAAUGGUCUGACGACUGAACCAGCCAUGCCGCGUGAAGGUCACGGCCCUAUGGGUCUUAAACUUCUUUUGCGAGGGAGCAAUAAGGUCUACGUGUAGUCCGAUGAGAGUACCUCGCGAAUAAGCAUCGGCUAACUCCGUG